CAACACCUUUUGUGGACCAGUAUUUUUUUAAGCCAAAGGACCACAAGUAUGACUGGAGAGGAGUGCUUCCAAGGGAAAAAUAUUUAUCAAAGCUCUUGAAGGAUCUAGAAAUAGCAUUAAAGGAUUCUACUGCCAAGUGGAAGAUUGUUGUGGGGCAUCAUCCUAUAAGAAGCAUAGGACAUCACGGUGACACCAAAGAGCUCAUAAGACAGCUCCUGCCAAUUCUUGAGG